AUUGAACGCUGGCGGCAGGCCUAACACAUGCAAGUCGAGCGAGCGGCGGAGGGGUGAGUAAUGUGUGGGAAACUGCCUGAGGGAGGGGGAUAAAUACUGGAAACGGUAGCUAAUACCGCAUACGAUCAGAUGUGCCCAGAUGGGAUUAGAUGGUAGGUGGGGUAACGGCUCACCUAGGCGACGAUACCUAGCUGGUCUGAGAGGAUGACCAGCCACCCUGGAACUGAGACACGUGCCAGACUCCUACGGGAGGCAGCAGUGGGGAAUAUUGCACAAUGGGCGCAAGCCUGAUGCAGCCAUGCCGCGUGUGUGAAGAAGGCCUUCGGGUUGUAAAGCACUUUCGGCGGGGAGGCGUUACCCGCAGAAGAAGCACCGGCUAACUCCGUGCCAGCAGCCGCGGUAAUUC
rnacentral:rRNA from 1 species